GAUGUUUGUAGUAUUCUGGAAGAAAUAAAUAGGUAAAAUGUUAAAGCUAUAGCGGCGAGUACUGUGAAGGAAAAUUGAAAUAAGGGUUAAAUAUACGAAGGUUAGGUUAGAAGAUGUUAAUUGUUGUACCUUUUGAAUGAUGGUUUGGUGAGAAUUGUUUGGACAUGAUGUUGUUUGUUCUCGAAUAAGGGUGAGCUAACGUUUUCUGCUUGUGUAGUGAGAAUUUUUACUGUUGCAGAAGUAAGGUUUGAGGGGACGUUAGUUGUGAAAUGCUUAUCGCGCUUUUAGAUAGCUGGUUUUCUGGGAAAUUGAUGUAAGUCAGGGUUUUGUUGCUAUUUGUUUUUGUAAGAAUCUAAUUUGGAAAGAUAAAAGGGUUUUUAGGGUAGCAAUGUAGUCUGAGACGGGAGGGGAUAAGCUCUUCUGUUAAUUUGGGAAAAGCCUUUUUUAUAAACUAAUAAUGAAGUUUGAACACUUUUGUUUGGAUACGGGAGUAUGGUUAAUAGCACUUUUCUUGUUCAAGGGCGUUGUAGCUUUGGUUAUUAAUUGCAAAGGUGGAUUAAUAAAUUUGUUGUUUUGGAGGUUGUAAUUUAUGGUACUGGAAGUCUCCAGAAGUAGAUGGAGGUCAUUAUGCUUGGAUUAGUAGGGAUAAAUAAAAAGAUAGGUUAGAUUAUAAGGAGGUACUGUUUGUGUUUUAAGCGUUUCUAACAUUGGAUGAAUAGAAGGCAAAAUUUUGUUUUCGAGAAAUGGCUUCUAUUUUGGCGUCUGUUUCAACACAGAGAGUAGAAAACUUGUGAAGUCUUAAUCAGGGAAGAGGAACUCGGCAAAUAUUGGCUUUGCCUGUUUACCAAAAACAUCGCUUCUCGGAUAAAGUUUAUUUAUAUGGGAAGUACUGCCUGCCCGGUGAUUUUAUUAUUAAACGGCCGCGGUAUUUUUGACUGUGCGAAGGUAGCAUAAUCAUUUGCCUUUUAAUUGGGGGCUGGAAUGAAUGGCAAGACAGAGGCUGUGCUGUCUUUUCUUUGGUUUCUUGAAUUUAAUAUUGUUGUGAAGAAGCGACUAUUUGGUUGUAGGACGAGAAGACCCUGUCGAGCUUCACUUUAGGAGCGGUUGUUUUGAAAAGUUGUGUUACUGUAGGCUAAUUUUUUUUAUUACAUGAGAAAGUGAAGUUACUUGGAGUACGCAGAGUAGAGGGCUGUUUUUAUUGUUUGGUUGGGGCAACCGCGGAGAAUAAAAAUCCUCCGUUAUUAGUAAUAAUUUGGAAAAAUAACUAUUUUGUUGGGUAAAAGUGAUUUGAAUGAAGAUCCACUAGAAAGUAGUGAUUAAAGGAAAAAGUUACCGCAGGGAUAACAGCGUUAUUUCUUUGGAGAGUUCGUAUUGAUAAAGGAGUUUGCGACCUCGAUGUUGGAUCAGGGUGUCCUGGGGGUGUAGCAGUUCCCAAGGGUUGGUCUGUUCGACCAUUAAAACCUUACGUGAUCUGAGUUCAGACCGGCGUGAGCCAGGUCAGUUUUUAUCCACAGCCAUAAAAAAAAAGUCUCUUUUAGUACGAAAGGAUCGGGGAGAUAGCACCAAUGUUUUUAGGUACGUGCUGUUUAUGGAAAAAUUUUUGGUUACAGAUAAAA
rnacentral:rRNA from 1 species